AGCGAACGCUGGCGGCAGGCCUAACACAUGCAAGUCGAACGAAGUCUUCGGACUUAGUGGCGGACGGGUGAGUAACACGUGGGAACGUACCUUUUGGUUCGGAACAACUCAGGGAAACUUGAGCUAAUACCGGAUAAGCCCUUCGGGGGAAAGAUUUAUCGCCAUUAGAGCGGCCCGCGUUAGAUUAGCUAGUUGGUGAGGUAAAGGCUCACCAAGGCUACGAUCCAUAGCUGGUCUGAGAGGAUGAUCAGCCACACUGGGACUGAGACACGGCCCAGACUCCUACGGGAGGCAGCAGUGGGGAAUCUUGCGCAAUGGGCGAAAGCCUGACGCAGCCAUGCCGCGUGAAUGAUGAAGGUCUUAGGAUUGUAAAAUUCUUUUACCAGGGACGAUAAUGACGGUACCUGGAGAAAAAACCCCGGCUAACUUCGUGCCAGCAGCCGCCGUAA
rnacentral:rRNA from 1 species